GCAGGGGUUCCCGAGUGGUCAAAGGGGCCGGACUUAAGCUCCGGUGCGUAGUGCUUCGCAGGUUCAAAUCCUGCCCCCUGCA
rnacentral:tRNA from 4 species